rnacentral:misc_RNA from 1 species
AACGCACAUUGCGCCCUCUGGUAUUCCGGGGGGCAUGCCUGUUCGAGCGUCAUUACAACCCUCAAGCUCUGCUUGGUAUUGGGUGUCACCGCUGUGGUGCACCCUAAAAUCAGUGGCGGUGUCACCUGGCUCCUAGCGUAGUAAUACUUCUCGCUAUUGAGCUUAGGUGUAUGCUUGCCAUAACCACACUCUCAAGGUUGACCUCGGAUCAGGUAGGGAUACCCGCUGAACUUAA